rnacentral:rRNA from 1 species
UACGAGGGGUGCAAGCGUUGCUCGGAAUUAUUGGGCGUAAAGGGUUGGUAGGUGGUCUUGUUUGUCUAGGGUGAAAUCCCAUGGCUUAACUGUGGAAGUGCCCUAGAAACGGCAAGACUAGAGUCCUAGAGGGGUUUGUGGAAUUCCCGGUGUAGCGGUGAAAUGCGUAGAGAUCAGGAGGAACACCCGUGGCGAAGGCGGCGCCCUGGUCCGUUACUGACGCUGAGACGCGAAAGCGCGGGGAGCGAACGGG